rnacentral:rRNA from 1 species
UGGGGAAUAUUGCACAAUGGGCGAAAGCCUGAUGCAGCGACGCCGCGUGAGGGAUGACGGCCUUCGGGUUGUAAACCUCUUUCAGCAGGGACGAAGCGCAAGUGACGGUACCUGCAGAAGAAGCACCGGCUAACUACGUGCCAGCAGCCGCGGUAAUACGUAGGGUGCAAGCGUUGUCCGGAAUUACUGGGCGUAAAGAGUUCGUAGGCGGUUUGUCGAGUCGUUUGUGAAAACCAGCAGCUCAACUGCUGGCUUGCAGGCGAUACGGGCAGACUUGAGUACUGCAGGGGAGACUGGAAUUCCUGGUGUGGCGGUGAAAUGCGCAGAUAUCAGGAGGAACACCGGUGGCGAAGGCGGGUCUCUGGGCAGUAACUGACGCUGAGGAACGAAAGCGUGGGUAGCGAACAGG